rnacentral:rRNA from 1 species
AGCGAACGCUGGCGGCAGGCUUAACACAUGCAAGUCGAGCGGGCUUAGCAAUAUGGCAGCGUCAGACGGGUGAGUAUCGCGUGGGAGCGUACCUUUUGGUUCGGAACAACUGAGGGAAACUUUAGCAAAUACCGGAUAUGCCGUUACGGGGAAAGAUUUAUCGCCGAAAGAUCGGGCCGCGUCUGAUUAGCUAGUUGGUUAGGUAAGUGCUCACCAAGGCGACGAUUAGUAGCUGGUCUGAGAGGAUGAUCAGCCACAUUGGGACUGAGACACGGCCCAAACUCCUACGGGAGGCAGCAGUGGGGAAUAUUGCACAAUGGGCGCAAGCCUGAUCCAGCCAUGCCGCGUGAGUGAUGAAGGCCCUAGGGUUGUAAAGCUCUUUUGUACGGGAAGAUAAUGACGGUACCGCAAGAAUAAGCCCCGGCUAACUUCGUG